AGUCCCAAGGCUCAUGGGGCAUGUUGAUGGAUGCUACUUUCUUCAGUCCUUUGACCAAGUGAAUCUAUUUUUAAUACAUACAAAAAAAGUCAGAACCUUGCAAGUGAACAGAACAAAAGUUAAAAAAAAAAAGCAAACCAACAAACAAAAUAAAUUGGUGAAAUAUCUGAUUCAGACUAUUGCCUUCUUCUAAUUUUUAUUUUUGCACACAGUAAAUUUUUAAUCUUAUUCUUUCCCAAACCUAGCUUCUCCUAGCUAGAUCCUCCCACUUCCCUAGCCAUCUACUGCUAUGUUCUCUCUCUCUCUCUUUCUCUCUCUCUCUCUCUCUCUCUUUCUCUCUCUCUCUCUUUCUCUCUCUCUCUCUCUCUCUCUCUCUCUCACACACACACACACACACACACAAACUUACACACAUGUACACAGAAAAUACAAAAAGAAAAACAACAAAAAGAAAACUAGAACAGAAAACUUGAAAUAUUAAUAAUACAAAAUGUUAAAAUAACAUGAAACAAAAUGUACACAAAAUAUAGUUGUGUUGGCUAACUACCCCUAGAGAGAAGGUCUGCCCUCUAGUGUGCUUAAUAUCCCCAGUGACACUCCAUUGGAGAAAACAGAUUGUUUCUUUCCUAGCAGGUGUCAAUUGCAAAUACCUUCUUGAUCAUGGAUGAGGUUUUAUGCCCACUUCAAUUUUUCAAUGAGAGUUUGUCUGGUUUGAACCUACAGGGAUUUCGUGCAUGUCCUCACUUUCUGUGAGUUCAUAUAUGUAUCAAUCCUGUUGUGUCUAGAAGAUUCUGUUUUCUUUGAGUCUGUCACAACUUGGCCCCCUCCUGAGUAGCAUUCAUGGUGCUGCAAGGUACUUUGCACACCAAUGUAAUAAAAGUAAUCACCAAUUUCAUGGGGCUACAGACCUGGGGAUCUACAGCAGAGACUUGCCUGCAGGAGAUAGUACUGCAAUAGAGGCACAACUGUCCAGGGUGCAACCAGCCCCCUUUUGAUUGGAUCUAAGGCCCAUUUUGUGAGAUUUCACUCAUACAUAACAUUGCCAAAGUGACUAUGAACUGGAGACUAGAUUAGUCAUAUACCUAGGGAAAACCUAAUACUAAUUCUGCUAAGGGAUCUUAGCAAGAAAAUGACUUUUAAUUACAUACUGCUGUGCUUGUAUAUCAGUACAUGACCCAGUCCUUAGCGGAGAAGUUUUGAAAUUGCGGUAGGUGGUAAUUAAUACAGAGACCCAAAAUCCAACAACAUGCAAAGAAUAAGACUUUGUACUACCCAGCCUUAAAUGGGAUGUCUUCAUCAGACUAUUAUAGUCAUACAUAUAAAACGUUUGCUUGGCUUUUAGGUAAGACAACUGAGACCUGGAAAGUCUUUGAAGCCUCCAACAUUACAAUUAAACUGCUCUAAAAUUCAUGCUGCUUGAUUCCGCAAGCCCUUCAGACCAUAAUUACAUAAACAAAACUACUUAACAUUAAGUAUAAUUGAAACUCGUCUUAAUUAAUCUGAUACUCAAAUGGAUUGUUAUUUUAUUUAUAAAUAUUUAGAAAAAUGAUUUUUUUACUGGUGAGAGUCUAAAAGUUGGGAUUUCAUAUUUUGGAACCAUGUCUAUUCUUCAAAAUGUUGGCUCUAUAAUUUUUGGUAGUUCAUGAAAUAUUUAUUAAUGCUAAUGCCAAUAAAAUAAUGCCAUGGUGAUU
rnacentral:lncRNA from 1 species